UUUAUAAUAAUAUAAAAAAAAUCAGUUUAUAUAAAAAAAAAUUCCAUUUGAUUUUUUUUGUAUGGAUGCAUCAUGCAUGGUUUUAUGAUAAAACACGUAUGUAUAAAACAAAUUAUUUGUUCCAAAUAAGACAUUUAUGAUAAAACAAAUUAUUUGUUCCAAACAGGACAUUUAUGAUAAAACAAAUUAUUUGUUCCAAACAAGACAUUUAUCAAAGGAGCACUAUCAGCCAUUGCAUCAAAUGGAGGGACUGCACAAAGAUUUGGUUAGGGAGACUACUGAUGGUGAACUAGUAGCUACAACAAAUAUGAGAGUUACAAAGGUGAAAAGAAACAUAAGGCGGUCGGUAAGAUAAGAUGCAUGAUUUUCCUUUUCAACUGUUAGUCAUAGAUUGACAGUACUUGUUUCAAUUUUCUUGGAUGGAUGAUGAAUGUAUUUGGGAAUGUAAAUGAAAAUAAAAAACUUAUAAUAUAUAUAUAUAUAUAUAUGUUAUCAAUGGAGGA